rnacentral:tRNA from 1 species
GCGCCCGAAGUUCAAGUGGAUGAACGCCCGACUACGGAUCGGGAGGGUGGGGGUUCGAGUCCCUCCGGGCGUG